GACGAACGCUGGCGGCGUGCUUAACACAUACAAGUCGAGCGGUAAGGCUCCUUCGGGAGUACACGAGCGGCGAACGGGUGAGUAACACGUGAGCAAUCUGCCCUUCACUUUGGGAUAACUUCCGGAAACGGAAGCUAAUACCGAAUACGACCACUUCAGGCAUCUGAUGGUGGUGGAAAGUUCCGGCGGUGAAGGAUGAGCUCGCGGCCUAUCAGCUUGUUGGUGAGGUAAUGGCUCACCAAGGCUUCGACGGGUAGCCGGCCUGAGAGGGUGACCGGCCAAACUGGGACUGAGACACGGCCGAGACUCCUACGGGAGGCAGCAGUGGGGAAUAAUGGACAAUGGGCGAAAGCCUGAUCCAGCAACGCCGCGUGAGGGAUGACGGCCUUCGGGUUGUAAACCUCUUUCAGCGGGGAGGAAGCGAAAGUGACGGUACCCGCAGAAGAAGCACCGGCCAACUACGUGCCAGCCGCCGCAGUAA
rnacentral:rRNA from 1 species